AUCUCAUGGUGAGGGUAUUGAAGUAGUAGCUCUUUGAAUCUUUCCCAUGCCUCGUAUAGAGACUCAUCAUCCAUCAACUAAAAAGUGAUGAUCUCAUUCUAUAACU
rfam:Gossypium raimondii chromosome 7, whole genome shotgun sequence.